rnacentral:rRNA from 1 species
GCAAGUCGAGCGGUAGCAUUUCUAGCUUGCUAGAAGAUGACGAGCGGCGGACGGGUGAGUAAUGCUUGGGAAUAUGCCUUGAAGUGGGGGACAACAGUUGGAAACGACUGCUAAUACCGCAUAAUGUCUACGGACCAAAGGAGGGGAUCUUCGGACCUCUCGUUAUUUGAUUAGCCCAAGUGAGAUUAGCUAGUUGGUAAGGUAAUGGCUUACCAAGGCGACGAUCUCUAGCUGGUUUGAGAGGAUGAUC